UCAGUCACAAGUCUGCCUGGAUUAGGACC
rnacentral:piRNA from 2 species